rnacentral:rRNA from 1 species
ACCAAGACAAUGACGCGUAGCGGGUUUGAGAGGAUGAUCCGCCACACUGGUACUGAGACACGGACCAGACUCCUACGGGAGGCAGCAGUGAGGAAUAUUGCACAAUGGGGGAAACCCUGAUGCAGCAACGCCGCGUGGAGGAUGACGCAUUUCGGUGUGUAAACUCCUUUUAUGAGUCAAGAAAAUGACGGUAGCUCAUGAAUAAGCACCGGCUAACUCCGUGCCAGCAGCCGCGGUAAUACGGAGGGUGCAAGCGUUACUCGGAAUCACUGGGCGUAAAGGACGCGUAGGCGGGUUAUCAAGUCAGGUGUGAAAUCCUAUGGCUCAACCAUAGAACUGCACUUGAAACUGGUAACCUAGAGUAUGGGAGGGGCAGAUGGAAUUAGUAGUGUANGGGGUAAAAUCCGUAGAUAUUACUAGGAAUACCGAAAGCGAAGGCGAUCUGCUGGAACAUUACUGACGCUAAGGCGUGAAAGCGUGGGGAGCAAACGGGAUUAGAUACCCCGGUAGUCCACGCCCUAAACGAUGAACACUAGUCGUCGGGGAGCUAGUCUCUUCGGUGAUGCACUUAACAGAUUAAGUGUUCCGCCUGGGGAGUACGGUCGCAAGAUUAAAACUCAAAGGAAUAGACGGGGACCCGCACAAGUGGUGGAGCAUGUGGUUUAAUUCGAAGAUACGCGAAGAACCUUACCUAGCCUUGACAUUGAUAGAACACCGUAGAGAUACAGUGGUGCCCUUCGGGGAACUUGAAAACAGGUGCUGCACGGCUGUCGUCAGCUCGUGUCGUGAGAUGUUGGGUUAAGUCCCGCAACGAGCGCAACCCUCGUCCUUAGUUGCCAGCAGGUUAAGCUGGGCACUCUAAGGAGACUGCCUUCGCAAGGAGGAGGAAGGUGAGGACGACGUCAAGUCAUCAUGGCCCUUAUGGCUAGGGCUACACACGUGCUACAAUGGGGCGUACAGAGAGUUGCGAUACCGCGAGGUGGAGCCAAUCUCAUAAAGCGUCUCUCAGUUCGGAUUGGAGUCUGCAACUCGACUCCAUGAAGCUGGAAUCACUAGUAAUCGUAGAUCAGCAAUGCUACGGUGAAUACGUUCCCGGGUCUUGUACUCACCGCCCGUCACACCAUGGGAGUUGAUUUCACCCGAAAUUGGGAAGCUAACCUUCGGGGGGCUACCACUUACGGUGGAAUUAGCGACUGGGGUGAAGUCGUAACAAGGUAACCGUAGGAGAAC